rnacentral:rRNA from 1 species
UAGGGAAUCUUCCGCAAUGGACGAAAGUCUGACGGAGCAACGCCGCGUGAGUGAUGAAGGUUUUCGGAUCGUAAAACUCUGUUGUUAGGGAAGAACAAGUACAAGAGUAACUGCUUGUACCUUGACGGUACCUAACCAGAAAGCCACGGCUAACUACGUGCCAGCAGCCGCGGUAAUACGUAGGUGGCAAGCGUUGUCCGGAAUUAUUGGGCGUAAAGCGCGCGCAGGCGGUCCUUUAAGUCUGAUGUGAAAGCCCACGGCUCAACCGUGGAGGGUCAUUGGAAACUGGGGGACUUGAGUGCAGAAGAGAAGAGUGGAAUUCCACGUGUAGCGGUGAAAUACGUAGAGAUGUGGAGGAACACCAGUGGCGAAGGCGACUCUUUGGUCUGUAACUGACGCUGAGGCGCGAAAGCGUGGGGAGCAAACAGGGAUUAGAUACCCUGGGUAGUCCACGCCGUAAACGAUGAGUGCUAAGUGUUAGAGGGUUUCCGCCCUUUAGUGCUGCAGCAAACGCAUUAAGCACUCCGCCUGGGGAGUACGGCCGCAAGGCUGAAACUUAAAUGAUUGACGGGGUCAUAGCUU